rnacentral:rRNA from 1 species
UAGGGAAUCUUCCGCAAUGGGCGAAAGCCUGACGGAGCAACGCCGCGUGAGUGAUGAAGGUCUUCGGAUCGUAAAACUCUGUUAUUAGGGAAGAACAAAUGUGUAAGUAACUAUGCACGUCUUGACGGUACCUAAUCAGAAAGCCACGGCUAACUAUGUGCCAGCAGCCGCGGUAAUACGUAGGUGGCAAGCGUUAUCCGGCAUUAUUGGGCGUAAAGCGCGUGCAGGCGGUUUUUUAAGUCUGAUGUGAAAGCCCACGGCUCAACGGUGGGGGGUGAGUAGAAACUGUAGAACUUGAGUGCAGAAGGGGAAAGUGGAAUUCCAUGUGUAGCGGUGAAGUGCGCAGAGAUAUAGGGGAACACCAGUGGCGAGGGCGACUUUCUGGUCUGUAACUGACGCUGAUGUGCGAGAGCGUGGGGAGCAAACGGG